GGGAUAUGGGAAAAUGAUGCUAGUAGUAAACAGUGGUUGGACAUUCAAAAUACUUUUGUUACUCCUUCAUGUAUCCUUACAGUUUGUGAAUCACAUUUUAUGAUGUGUGUGUGUGUGUGUGUGUGUGUGUGUUUAUGAAAUUGUUUCCCU
rnacentral:sRNA from 1 species